ACUGCUCAGUAACACGUGGACAACCUGCCCUUAGGUUGGGUAUAAACCCGGGAAACUGGGUAUAAUACCCGAUAGGUCUCGAUUGCUGGAAUGCAUCGAGAUUUAAAGCUCCGGCGCCUAAGGAUGGGUCUGCGGCCUAUCAGGUAGUAGUGGGUGUAGCGUACCUACUAGCCUACGACGGGUACGGGUUGUGAGAGCAAGAGCCCGGAGAUGGAUUCUGAGACACGAAUCCAGGCCCUACGGGGUGCAGCAGGCGCGAAAACUUUACAAUGCUGGCAACAGCGAUAAGGGAACCUCGAGUGCCAGGUUACAAAUCUGGCUGUCGAGAUGCCUAAAAAGCAUUUCAUAGCAAGGGCCGGGCAAGACCGGUGCCAGCCGCCGCGGUAACACCGGCGGCUCGAGUGGUAACCGUUAUUACUGGGCUUAAAGGGUCCGUAGCUUGAUAAUAGGGUCCCUUGAGAAAUCCGCCGGCUUAACUGGCGGGCGUUCAGGGGAAACUUGUUUUCUAGGGACCGGGAGAGGUGAGGGGUACUGCCGGGGUAGGAGUGAAAUCCUGUAAUCCCGGUGGGACCACCUAUGGCGAAGGCAUCUCACCAGAACGGGUCCGACAGUGAGGGACGAAAGCUGGGGGAGCAAACCGGAUUAGAUAUCCGGGUAGUCCCAGCUGUAAACUAUGUGCGUUAGGUGUGUCAGUGACCACGUGUCACUGAGGUGCCGAAGGGAAACCGUGAAACGCACCGCCUGGGGAGUACGGUCGCAAGGCUGAAACUUAAAGGAAUUGGCGGGGGAGCAC
rnacentral:rRNA from 1 species